UACGUAGGGGGCAAGCGUUGUCCGGAAUCAUUGGGCGUAAAGAGCGUGUAGGCGGCCAGAUAAGUCCGCUGUGAAAACUCGAGGCUCAACUUCGAGCUGUCGGUGGAAACUAUUUGGCUAGAGUCCGGAGGAGGUGGGUGGAAUUCCUAGUGUAGAGGUGAAAUUCGUAGAUAUUAGGAAGAACACCGGUGGCGAAGGCGGCCCACUGGUCCGGUACUGACGCUGAGGUGCGAAAGCGUGGGGAGCAAACAGG
rnacentral:rRNA from 1 species